GCCAUGUUUCCAGUCACCUGUAAGGACAACCCGCUCAUUGUGGCAGAACAGUUCCUUGAUCCAGCGAGCAACUCCAGGAUUGACAGACAUCAGAGAGCCUGAAGAAGUGAGAAAAUAUUCAGAGGCCCAUAGCAGUGCUCCCCUCCAUAGCUGCUCUGCAGUUUCCUAGGAACAGAAACCAACCUGGGAAAUGCCGUCGAUGUGACACUGUCCAGUCCGUGGGUGAGUGGAAGCAGUGAUAAUCCCCUGGUGCAAGGUAAAUUACACAGUGGUAGAGCUCAUUCCCCUCCUUUGUGACCAGUUGUUGCUGAAAAGUGUUACCAGGUGGGGCUGCAGAAAAAGCAGGAAAAGGAAGGGGUUAAAGAUAUUCCCCCUGAAGUCAUCUACCAAAGCCAGGCAGUUUGUGUUAAAGCCAGUGCAAUAGUAGAGGUUAAAUGCAGCCCACAUGGCUUGGUGAGACUACAAAAACAUAGGUUUCAUGCAGAAAUCAAAUAUUUCCAAAUGUUCCUUUCCCUUUACAAGAAAAUUAGAUCCUGGAUUGUUUCAAUCACGAUGAAAAAUUUUAUUUUGGAGUUUGCCCUUCCUUAAGCAAAACAGCAGAAACUGAAAUCCAGUACAACAGAAUUUUUAUUAAAGCUAUCCUUUAAGAACACAAUUUGUGAAGAGUCCUCUAAGUCAUUAGAGGGGUAGUGCUUGAGCUACUCCUUGUUAAGGAUUAGCUUAUCCAGUUUUUGCUAGCCAGUGCUUGGGCCCAUUUCAGUGUGACAGCAGGAGUGCUGCAGCCAUGGUACAGCAACAAAUCUUGGAUUUAAGUGUAGGAACCAAGCAACUCAGUUCAGCUCAUCAGAAUGAGCCUUGUAUAAAGCCAUGGUGAGAAAGAGAAAAACUAGAACAGCGAUAUGGUUACCCUCAAAUAAAACAAACCAAAAAUCAGA